rnacentral:rRNA from 1 species
AACGAACGCUGGCGGCAGGCCUAACACAUGCAAGUCGAGCGCCCAGCAAUGGGAGCGGCAGACGGGAGAGUAACACGUGGGAACGUGCCCUUCAGUUCGGAACAACCAAGGGAAACUUUGGCUAAUACCGGAUACGUCCGAAAGGAGAAGGAUUUAUCGCUGAAGGAGCGGCCCGCGUCUGAUUAGCUAGUUGGUGAGGUAAUGGCUCACCAAGGCGACGAUCAGUAGCUGGUCUGAGAGGAUGAUCAGCCUCACUGGGACUGAGACACGGCCCAGACUCCUACGGGAGGCAGCAGUGGGAAUAUUGGACAAUGGCGCAAGCCUGAUCCAGCCAUGCCGCGUGGAUGAUGAAGGCCCUAGGGUUGUAAAGUCCUUUCGUUGGGGAAGAGUAAUGACGGUACCCAAAGAAGAAGCCCCGGCUAACUUCGUGCCAGCAGCCGCGGUAAU